rnacentral:rRNA from 1 species
GACGAACGCUGGCGGCGUGCUUAACACAUGCAAGUCGAACGGAAAGGCCCUGCUUUUGUGGGGUGCUCGAGUGGCGAACGGGUGAGUAACACGUGAGUAACCUGCCCUUGACUUUGGGAUAACUUCAGGAAACUGGGGCCAAUACCGGAUAGGAGCUCCUGCUGCAUGGUGGGGGUUGGAAAGUUUCGGCGGUUGGGGAUGGACUCGCGGCUUAUCAGCUUGUUGGUGGGGUAGUGGCUUACCAAGGCUUUGACGGGUAGCCGGCCUGAGAGGGUGACCGGCCACAUUGGGACUGAGAUACGGCCCAGACUCCUACGGGAGGCAGCGGUGGGGAAUAUUGCACAAUGGGCGGAAGCCUGAUGCAGCAACGCCGCGUGCGGGAUGACGGCCUUCGGGUUGUAAACCGCUUUCGCCUGUGACGAAGCGUGAGUGACGGUAAUGGGUAAAGAAGCACCGGCUAACUACGUGCCAGCAGCCGCGGUGAUACGUAGGGUGCGAGCGUUGUCCGGAUUUAUUGGGCGUAAAGGGCUCGUAGGUGGUUGAUCGCGUCGGAAGUGUAAUCUUGGGGCUUAACCCUGAGCGUGCUUUCGAUACGGGUUGACUUGAGGAAGGUAGGGGAGAAUGGAAUUCCUGGUGGAGCGGUGGAAUGCGCAGAUAUCAGGAGGAACACCAGUGGCGAAGGCGGUUCUCUGGGCCUUUCCUGACGCUGAGGAGCGAAAGCGUGGGGAGCGAACAGGCUUAGAUACCCUGGUAGUCCACGCUGUAAACGGUGGGUACUAGGUGUGGGGUCCAUUCCACGGGUUCCGUGCCGUAGCUAACGCUUUAAGUACCCCGCCUGGGGAGUACGGCCGCAAGGCUAAAACUCAAAGGAAUUGACGGGGCCCCGCACAAGCGGCGGAGCAUGCGGAUUAAUUCGAUGCAACGCGUAGAACCUUACCUGGGUUUGACAUGGAUCGGGAGUGCUCAGAGAUGGGUGUGCCUCUUUUGGGGUCGGUUCACAGGUGGUGCAUGGCUGUCGUCAGCUCGUGUCGUGAGAUGUUGGGUUAAGUCCCGCAACGAGCGCAACCCUUGUUCACUGUUGCCAGCACGUUAUGGUGGGGACUCAGUGGAGACCGCCGGGGUCAACUCGGAGGAAGGUGGGGAUGACGUCAAGUCAUCAUGCCCCUUAUGUCCAGGGCUUCACGCAUGCUACAAUGGCUGGUACAGAGAGUGGCGAGCCUGUGAGGGUGAGCGAAUCUCGGAAAGCCGGUCUCAGUUCGGAUUGGGGUCUGCAACUCGACCUCAUGAAGUCGGAGUCGCUAGUAAUCGCAGAUCAGCAACGCUGCGGUGAAUACGUUCCCGGG